UGCCAGCGCUUUUUAUUGUGAAUGUUUUAAGGAAAAUAAACAUCUCUGCAGUGAAAACAACUGCAAUGUUGAACAUGAAGCCGUGAUUGGCAAAGUUUAGUUAGGUCCAGGCAAUUGCAAAUAAACAAUGAUGAAUUAUCCACUCUCCCCUACCCCCAGCAGGGUCCAGGUGAUGCACGUGUUUAAGGGGUCUGAGACUUUGCUUUCCAGCUGUGUUUGGUAGACAGCUGAAGCAAAGUAAUUAGAAAUAACAAAGGUGGAAUUUGGGGCAGAGAAAGAAGCUAUUCUUUUUUUUUGGCAGGGGGGUUAGGCACUUCUUCUUGGUACUUCUUUAGCCCUCUGUACUCAUUCAUUUUUUUUUGACAAAUGUUUAUUGAGUAUGAGAUAUCACCAGGUGUACACCAGGCAUUGCUGUAUAUAUUGGAGAUGAACAAAACAGACAAGACUCCUGUCUUUGAUGAAUAAGAGAUGACGACUUGCAUUAUAAUGAGAUCCUACAAUGCCUGGAGAACAGAGAUGAGGCCAAGGAAUUCAGAGCCCAGUAGCCCCACCUAUCUUUAAUUAACUAGAGGACAUCACUCCAGCAUCUUCUGCUCUCCAGGCUUCCAUGGUCCUGGACCAUGAGAAUACAUGCUCCUCAUCAUUGAAGAUGCAGGAUGAGAUCUUACUCUGUAGAGUACAAACAGUAUAUACAUCCCUUUUCUGGGCAAAAAAAAAAAAAAAAAAAAAAAAGAGUUAGCUCAGUCCCUGCAUUGCCCUAGGAAACACUUAGCUACAUGGGUCCUUAGGUGAAUUUAUUCUGUUGAUCAAACUUGUGUGUGUGUGCACGUGCAUGCAUACACACACACAUGUGAGAGACAGAGUGUGUGUGUUAUCCAAAGUAGACUCCACACUAUAUGUAACUCCCCUAGACCUGGAGGGGAGAAGGGAGUACCCAGGUCAGAAUUUGAUUCAUUUACAUCCUUAAUUUACCAGUGGGAGAGUCCAGAUCAGCUACAGUCAGAAAGGAAAUUUCAGGAGAUAAAAUGCUGACAGCGAAUGGCAAUUGUCCCUCUUUUAUCAUUUUCAAUAUUGUUGCAACAAUGCUGACCUCUGUUCUCCCAAGUCAUGAACAGAGAGAGCCAAUGAUUUAAAGAGACCAAUUAGAUUUUAGCUCCAUAAGCAAACAGGUCAUCUUGCUCAAAGAAGUUUCCCAGUGUAUACUGAGCAGGUCACCUGUCCUACAAAAUGCACCAUGAAGAAAAGUGUUCUGUAGUCACAGAUGUUUAAGAAAUGCUGUGAACUGCACCCCCAUCCCAGAGACUCUUAGUGCACAGUGAUAUUUUCAAGCUCAGUAAAGUCCAAUAGCAAAGAAGCCUACUUAAAUAUAGGUAGUCCAGCAUUUCCUAGUCAUUAAGGCAUGACCUCCAUUUCUGGCCAUAUAGCCGACUAGACACCUUGGAUGAUUCUCCCAAUGAGGGAAAAAUAACUACAGGGACAUGGAAGAAGCUGGAAGCCAUCAUUCUCAGCAAACACAGGAAUUGAAAGCCAAACACCGCAUGUUCUCACUCGUAAGAGGGAGUUGAACAAUGAGAACACAUGGACACAGGGAGUGGAACACCACACACUGGGGCCUGUCGGGGGGUGGGGGGCCGGGGAUGGAGAGCAUUAGGACAAAUACCUAACGCAUGCAGGACUUAAAACCUAGAUGACAGGUUGAUAGGUGCAGCAAACCACCAUGGCACAUGUAUACCUAUGUAACAAACCUGCACGUUCUGCACAUGUAACCCAGAACUGAAAAUAAAAUUAAAAU
rnacentral:lncRNA from 1 species